UAAAGUCAUUUUGUUUUGUUUGUUUGCUUGC
rnacentral:piRNA from 1 species